ACGAACGCUGGCGGCGUGCUUAACCCAUGCAAGUCGAACGGAAAGGCCCUGCUUUUGUGGGGUGCUCGAGUGGCGAACGGGUGAGUAACACGUGAGUCACCUGCCCUUGACUUUGGGAUAACUUCAGGAAACUGGGGCUAAUACCGGAUAGGAGCUCCUGCUGCAUGGUGGGGGUUGGAAAGUUUCGGCGGUUGGGGAUGGACUCGCGGCUUAUCAGCUUGUUGGUGGGGUAGUGGCUUACCAAGGCAUUGCCGGGUAGCCGGCCUGAGAGGGUGACCGGCCACAUUGGGACUGAGAUACGGCCCAGACUCCUACGGGAGGCAGCAGUGGGGAAUAUUGCACAAUGGGCGGAAGCCUGAUGCAGCAACGCCGCGUGCGGGAUGACGGCCUUCGGGUUGUAAACCGCUUUCGCCUGUGACGAAGCGUGAGUGACGGUAAUGGGUAAAGAAGCACCGGCUAACUACGUG
rnacentral:rRNA from 1 species